rnacentral:rRNA from 1 species
UUGGCGGACGGGUGAGUAACGCGUGAGUAACCUGCCUUUCAGAGGGGGAUAACGUUCUGAAAAGAAACGCUAAUACCGCAUAACAUCAAUUUAUCGCAUGAUAGGUUGAUCAAAGGAGCAAUCCGCUGGAAGAUGGACUCGCGUCCGAUUAGCCAGUUGGCGGGGUAACGGCCCACCAAAGCGACGAUCGGUAGCCGGACUGAGAGGUUGAACGGCCACAUUGGGACUGAGACACGGCCCAGACUCCUACGGGAGGCAGCAUG